rnacentral:rRNA from 1 species
ACUCAAAGGAAUUGACGGGGGCCCGCACAAGCGGUGGAGCAUGUGGUUUAAUUCGACGCAACGCGAAGAACCUUACCUAGGCUUGACAUGUACGGGACAACUUGCAGAAACGCAGGUCUCUCUUCGGAGUCCGUACACAGGUGCUGCAUGGCUGUCGUCAGCUCGUGUCGUGAGAUGUUGGGUUAAGUCCCGCAACGAGCGCAACCCUCGUCUCUAGUUGCCAACGGGUAAUGCCGGGAACUCUAGAGAGACUGCCGGUGCCAAACCGGAGGAAGGUGAGGACGACGUCAAGUCAUCAUGGUCCUUACGUCUAGGGCUACACACGUGCUACAAUGGGACGGGACAGAGGGUCGCAAAGCCGCAAGGUAGAGCCAAUCCCCAAACCCUCCCUCAGUUCGGAUUGUCGUCUGCAACUCGACGGCAUGAAGCUGGAAUCGCUAGUAAUCGUGGAUCAGCUACGCCACGGUGAAUACGUUCCCGGGCCUUGUACACACCGCCCGU